rnacentral:siRNA from 1 species
UAGAAAGUGCUGGUUUGUGGU